rnacentral:sRNA from 1 species
AAUGCAGAUAUGAUGAUAGGUGAUGCAUGGACAAUAAAAUUCAUAUGCGGCAUGUAUUUCUAUGGCGGUAAGGUGUUACCGAGUCAGUUAGCUGAUAUUGUCUAGUCAUUGACAGAUAAGUCUGAGGUUUUUUGUUCGGGAGAUCCGUAAUUGACAGGGGUCCCGUCCGUAUUCGCUCUUUUACACACGCACGCGACAGCGCUUGGAGACAGACGGUCGCACAAAUAUGAGGAAUCCCAACAUUCUUCUCCAGCGUCGUCGCUCUAGUGUCAAUCUCAACAGCGCAGACGACAAUUUACUAAAUCGCAGACGAUCGAGCAUAGGGAUGGCGGGUGAGGACGUGUUGCAGCAUUUUAGUAACAGGAGACGUUCCUCCGUAGUUACAAAUGGGCAACCGCCUGCAUUUAGCAAACCCAAUUCUUCCAAACGGGGACCAAGAUCUCCUCCCUUAAGAAGGGAUUCCAUCGGAUCGUUCCAGAUUUGUAGAGGGACAUGCUGCUCACGCUUGUUGAAUGUGAGCGAGGAGCUAAAUGUGCCCAUUCAUGCUGGAUUUGGGCGCUGUUGUAGAAGGGUCUCUAAGCAGUUGGAGAACGUGAUCUCUGAUGAAGCCUGUGCACGGAGAUUCACGAUCGUCACCGUCUCCAUGUUUCUCUUCAUCUUCUGCGUGAUUGGCUUCUCCGUUUAUCAGCGACUACCAAAGCUAGAAUCCGGGCCUUGAGCGCGCUUAUUACACAGUGCUUUGUUUUUUGGAGACCUUUGCGAGAUGAAAGCCCUUUGACAAAUUGGCGGGAAUGCAAGGCCAUGCGGAUAUUAUUUAUAUCCUACAGAUCAAACGAUACAAAAGGAAAAGAGGGAGUGGAAAUGAAUUUGGAUAUCUUUGAGACAUUGUUUCGAGCGGGAUGUUCAUGUUGUUGCAGAUAUUUUGACAUGUACCUGCACACCUGUUGUCGAUGUUUCCUUUGUACAAGCCGCCCCUUGGUUUCCGGGUUUAUGAGUGGCAUCUGAUUGACAGAGACCUUGUGGUGUCCUCUCGGACGGCGCCCCGGCCAUAAAUCGGUCAAGGUGUGUCACAAACCUGUCAGCUUUAUCGACAAAUUUCGGAAUGUGUUGUUUUUUUCGGAACAUGCAUUACUUAGGAACAUUAUAUAUAAAAGUGUUUUUGGGGGAUUUUGUGACGGCCAGACCAUUGUGCAGAUUGUACCGAGCAUUGUUUUAGAAUUCUUCAGUACGGAAUAAUCCUACCUCACUUUCAUGAAUCUUAAAUCAAAGUGAAGAUUUUAAGUUUAUCAAUGUGCUUUUCAAAAUGGUGUCUACCAAUCAAAUGGUUCCGUCUUUUUCUCCAGUAUAAGAUUAUAGACCUGCGGCUAUUAAUGGACAGAUUUAUUUUCGUUUUCUCUCAUUUUAGCAAAAAAGCUGUUCAUUACUUAAAUAUGUACAAUUUAGAUUUCUUGGCCCAAGAGAAAAAGAAAGCAAGAGAAUCAAACCAUGUAUAGCAUGAUGAAUUUGAGAAAAUAAAAAAGACGGAAA